GGGGAAUUUUGGACAAUGGGCGCAAGCCUGAUCCAGCAAUGCCGCGUGCAGGAUGAAGGCCUUCGGGUUGUAAACUGCUUUUGUACGGAACGAAAAGCCUCUCUCUAAUACAGGGGGGUGAUGACGGUACCGUAAGAAUAAGCACCGGCUAACUACGUGCCAGCAGCCGCGGUAAUACGUAGGGUGCAAGCGUUAAUCGGAAUUACUGGGCGUAAAGCGUGCGCAGGCGGUUUUGUAAGACAGUGGUGAAAGGCUACGGCUCAACCGUAGUGAGCCUCUGAAACUGGUGAACUUGAGUGUAGGAGAGGAAAGUGGAAUUCCCAGUGUAGCGGUGAAAUGCGUAGAUAUUGGGAGGAACACCAGUGGCGAAGGCGACUUUCUGGACUACAACUGACGCUGAGGCACGAAAGCGUGGGGAGCAAACA
rnacentral:rRNA from 1 species